AUGUCGCCGCCUCUCGAGCUCGACUACAUAGGCCUCUCGGCCGCCGCCGGCGGCCGCCCGGACGACGACCUGAAAGGCACCGAGCUCCGCCUCGGACUUCCCGGCUGCGAGUCCCCGGACCGCCGCCCGGUCGCCGCCACCACCACACUCGACCUGCUGCCCGCCAAGGGCGCCAAGCGAGGGUUUUCGGACGAGGUCGUGCCGCCUGCGCCGGUUUCCGCCGCCGGGAAAGACAAGGACGCGUCCGGGGAUGAGAAGGACAAGAAGGUCGCCGCCCCGCCGCAGCCUGCUGCCAAGGCUCAGGUGGUGGGAUGGCCACCAGUCCGCAGCUAUCGCAAGAGCACGAUGGCAACCACCACCAACCAGCUGAAGAGCAGCAAGGAGGAUUCUGACACGAAGCAGGGGCAAGAGUUUCUGUAUGUCAAGGUCAGCAUGGAUGGUGCGCCUUACCUGAGGAAGGUUGACCUCAAGACAUACAAGAACUACAAGGGCAUGGUUGUGGGGCUAGGGAAAAUGUUCAUUGGCUUCAGGACAGGGAAGGAUGGUGAAUAUGUGAUGACUUACGAAGACAAGGAUGGAGACUGGAUGCUGGUUGGUGACGUCCCAUGGGAGAUGUUCACCGAGUCUUGCCGGAGGAUCAGGGUCAUGAAAAGUUCAGAUGUGAUUGGACUUGGAGUUACAAGGGCAGGGGUCAAGUCCAAGAAUAAGAACUAA
rnacentral:rRNA from 1 species